UACGUAGGGUGCAAGCGUUAAUCGGAAUUACUGGGCGUAAAGCGUGCGCAGGCGGUUAUGCAAGACAGAUGUGAAAUCCCCGGGCUCAACCUGGGAACUGCAUUUGUGACUGCAUGGCUAGAGUGCGGCAGAGGGGGAUGGAAUUCCGCGUGUAGCAGUGAAAUGCGUAGAUAUGCGGAGGAACACCGAUGGCGAAGGCAAUCCCCUGGGCCUGCACUGACGCUCAGGCACGAAAGCGUGGGGAGCAAACAGG
rnacentral:rRNA from 1 species